AUACGUAGGGGGCGAGCGUUGUCCGGAAUGAUUGGGCGUAAAGGGCGCGUAGGCGGCCCGGUAAGUCUGGAGUGAAAGUCCUGUUUUUAAGAUGGGAAUUGCUUUGGAAACUGGCAGACUUGAGUGCAGUAGAGGCAAGUGGAAUUUCUAGUGUAGCGGUUAAAUGCGUAGAUAUUAGAAGGAACACCAGUGGCGAAGGCGGCUUGCUGGGCUGUUACUGACGCUGAGACACGAAAGUGUGGGGAGCAAACAGGAUUAGAUACCCUGGUAGUCCACACUGUAAACGAUGAAUGCUAGGUGUAAGAGGUAUCGACCCCUUUUGUGCCGGAGUCAACACAAUAAGCAUUCCGCCUGGGGAGUACGGCUGCAAGGUUGAAACUCAAAUGAAUUGACGGGG
rnacentral:rRNA from 1 species